GUGAACGGGGAAAAAUGCAGACUACAGCGGCUGCGAAGGACAAACAGUGCGACAGUGAAAACGUUAUUUUAGUAGCCUACAGCUUCAUUGGUCCACAACCAACUCUGGCUGACCGAGACAGUUGUUGAAUACUCCGGCCGGUGGUAGCUGGUCCCAUGCAGGAAGAUGAGGUUCCGGAGGUUCCUCCGCCCCCUCUGGACAUCGAGGGGUCCCCGGCGUACAAGAUACGAGCUAUUCUGGACUCGAGACGCCGGGUGAGGGGCUUGCAGUACCUCGUUGACUGGGAGGGGUACGGUCCGGAGGAGAGGUGCUGGGUUCUGGUGAGGGAUAUUCUAGACCCAUCUAUGUUGAGUGAAUUCCAUCGCCUCCGUCCGGAUCGCCCAGCGCCUCGGCCCCCGGGUCGUCCCCGAGGCCAGCGUCGGCGCACUGCGGGAGCUGCGCGUCAGGAGGGGGGUACUGUCACAAAUAUUACCGAAGGUGACUCCCCUUCUUGUUCGGGUGGCGCUCGGCGGUCAUCAUCGCCGGUCUACUAGCUAUCGCUGAUCCGUUAUUCUGUGUUUGUUUAGUUCUGUCUAUUGGUAGCACCUGUUUCUUGUUUGGUUGUUAGGAUAGGGUUAUAUAUAGUCUGUUCAGCCCGCUUCUGUUUCGUGCGGGCUUGUUCUCCUGUUUCCUUGUUUGAGUGUAUUUUGUUGGCGUUUGGGUUUCACGCUGUCCGUUUAUAUUUCUGUUCAUUUGUGUUUCCACUUUUGUUCAUGUUAUGUUUCCAGGACAUUAAAGCGUGUUGUUUUUCCCA